rnacentral:rRNA from 1 species
UGGGGAAUAUUGGACAAUGGGCGAAAGCCUGAUCCAGCCAUGCCGCGUGUGUGAAGAAGGUCUUCGGAUUGUAAAGCACUUUAAGUUGGGAGGAAGGGCAUUAACCUAAUACGUUAGUAUUUUGACGUUACCGACAGAAUAAGCACCGGCUAACUCUGUGCCAGCAGCCGCGGUAAUACAGAGGGUGCAAGCGUUAAUCGGAAUUACUGGGCGUAAAGCGCGCGUAGGUGGUUUGUUAAGUUGGAUGUGAAAUCCCCGGGCUCAACCUGGGAACUGCAUUCAAAACUGACUGACUAGAGUAUGGUAGAGGGUGGUGGAAUUUCCUGUGUAGCGGUGAAAUGCGUAGAUAUAGGAAGGAACACCAGUGGCGAAGGCGACCACCUGGACUAAUACUGACACUGAGGUGCGAAAGCGUGGGGAGCAAACA